AAACGAGUGCAGGAAGACCAGAAGACAACUCUUCAUUCAAGAGCUUCACGUGCAAGUCGAACAUCUGUUCCUGGGCUUUACAAUGCAACAGCUUCAACU